rnacentral:rRNA from 1 species
UCCUACGGGGCGCAGCAGUGGGGAAUAUUGCACAAUGGGGGAAACCCUGAUGCAGCGACGCCGCGUGAGUGAAGAAGUAUUUCGGUAUGUAAAGCUCUAUCAGCAGGGAAGAAAAUGACGGUACCUGACUAAGAAGCCCCGGCUAACUACGUGCCAGCAGCCGCGGUAAUACGUAGGAUGCGAGCGUUAUCCGGAUUUAUUGGGUUUAAAGGGUGCGUAGGCGGUCCGGAAAGUCAGCGGUAAAAGCCCGGGGCUCAACCCCGGCGAGCCGUUGAAACUGUCGGACUAGAGACGGCGAGAAGUAC